CUGGAGCCCGGUGAAUCGUCUCCAGGUACCCAUGGAUUUCAUUAUUAAAUUCAUGGCGUACCUGGCCGAUCAUUUCUUCGCCAACAAGGAAUGGCAGCUCCACCAGGAGAUGAGGAAGUUCCUUAACUUUUUGCUCCUGAAGGGUCGUGAGAUUGAGGCACUGGAGAUGGUGCCUCACGCGCAGGGCAUCGCGGCAACCGCCGUGAUGAUUCUGGACGCACAAAAUCAUUACGAUAUCUGAAGUGCAUCAUCUCCAGGACAUCC